GUAGUCUCGCACAGAUGCAUAUCAAUAAGCGGAGGAAAAGAAACUAACAAGGAUUCCCCUAGUAACGGCGAGUGAAGCGGGAAGAGCUCAAAUUUGAAAUCUUAAAGGGUUUCCCUUUACGAAUUGUAGUUUAAAGAAGUGUUUUCUGUUGAGGUUUUGGUAAAAGUUCUUUGGAAUAGGACAUCAUAGAGGGUGAGAAUCCCGUAUUUGACCUUUAUUUUCAACUUUGUGAUACACUUUCAAAGAGUCGGAUUGUUUGGGAAUGCAGUCCAAAAUGGGUGGUAAAUUUCAUCUAAAGCUAAAUAUUGGCGAGAGACCGAUAGCGAACAAGUACCGUGAGGGAAAGAUGAAAAGAACUUUGAAAAGAGAGUUAAACAGUACGUGAAAUUGUCAAAAGGGAAGCGUUUGACACCAGUGUUGUUUUUCUGAAAAUCAAUUAAAGAACUGUUUAUGCUAAGCUGUUUAGACUUUAUCAGCUAAUCUGUUUAGUUUUGAGCUUUUCUUUAAUGCACUUUUCAGUUAACAAGUCAACAUCAAUUUCUUUUGCUGUAAAAAAGCUUGAGGAAGGUGGCUUGAGAUUCGUCUUAAGUGUUUAUAGCCUCUUGCCUAUGCAGUCGGAGAGAUUGAGGUCUGCAGCGUAGAUCCUUCGGGGCUAAAUGCAUUUGUGCUAAGUUAUAGCAUUUUAUAGACAACUUGUUGACUAUGAUUUGUCUUGUAGCUUACUCGCUUAUGUUAUUUUACCUACGCUUAGGAUGUUGAGUAGCGACAUACGCAC
rnacentral:rRNA from 1 species